GGAGUAUAUAGAUCUUUGUCACAUUGUAUGCGCGCCGCAUCAGACGGGAACCCUAAUUUCAACCACCUUCUCCACGCCUCCAUCGACGAAAAAUGGCUCGUUCUCAGGCGGUGGACGACACAAGGACUCCAUUGAACCACAAAUCGGCGAAAACUCUGUGCGACGAAACCCAAAUUCCUCUACCUUCUAGCCGCCUCCUCCGUCGUAAACGGAGAAACAGAGGAGGAGGACGGUGCCUACACUCCAUUAAACACCAAAUCGGUGACGGCUUCACACCGAUUGCAGUUUGAAUUUCCUUCACAAUCCGAAGUCACCGAAGGUUUUCUUCGAAACCUUACCACGUCGGCAGCAAAAGAACCUCUCCGAAACCAGGAAAAAGGAAUAGAUCUCAUAAUAUUGCAGCAGCUAUGAUUCUCUGCCACACACUUCAAAAUCGUGACAACAAUGGAAAAAGGAUGACAAAAUCAAAGCCGACAAAUCCAGAAAAAGGUGAUGAUGUACAUGGAUUGUAAAAAGAAGUGGCAGGAAAAGAACCAAGAAUGCAUAUAAACUGUAAAAUAAGGGACUGAUCUACAAAAAUAUCAAUCAAAGGAAGCAUGACUUGAAAAAAGAUGACAUGAGCAUGGAGGCAAUGGCAGAUUCAAGGUAAGAAAACUACAUUGUAAAAUGAGUUUUUACAUAUGCAAAAUAUUUAGCACUAUUAGUAACAUUGUGAAAUUAGGAUAACAUAAACAUGGACUUAAUGACAAAUUCAACUUAGAUAACUGCAUAAUCAUGUAGCUGAGAAUUUACAGGAGAUAACAUAAACAUGGACUGAAUGAUGCUUGGAUUCUUGUCCCCUGUAACACAAAAGACAUUAAUAAUUAGUUCCAUUUAGUUUACAAUAAAAGCAUAGUUGUUUGGUACAGUGUUGUCAAAAACGCGCCCAGGGCGCGCUCGGGGCGCGGGUCGCCAUGAUCGAGGCCGGCUUCGCCCCAACAUGGGUGAACCGAGCGAGAUACGUGUGGCGCCGUCGGGGCGCGCUCUGGGCGGUCGGGGCGACUGGAGCGAGAGACGGAACUAGCGGCGGGGGCUUACCUGUUGCCGUCGGCCCUGCAGAUUUUUUGUUUUACACAGAAAAAAGAAGAGGGAGGGGAGAUGGAGACGAAGACAUGAUGAUAGAGAGAGAGAAUUAUGCUACUGAGAGGGUCAUAAAAAAGGAAGAAAAGGAAAGUCAAGAAGAUGUGGUAACAAUAGGAAAACAACCAAUACUACAAAAAUGACAAAAUGGUAAGAAAAACACAUUCUUUCAUUUCUUCCUAGCUGAGUAUUUACAGGAGCUAUAUAUCAUAAACUAACUUCUAUACAGAUAAGUGCAUUUCAGAAAUAGGAAGAAAUAUAUAAAGAAGAUUCAAUCAAGGGGAAUGCAGAUAAGAACUUGAAAAGAAACUCCACCAAGUUUGUGUGCUGAUUCAGUUAAGUGUUUUCAGUUGUGAGGGGUUGGUGAGUGAUUGUAGAAGCAGUUAGGAAAGGGUAUUUAUAGGGUAAAAAAUGGCCAGCAUGCUCUUAAAAAAGUCAUUUAGGUUCCCAAAGAAACAUAAUAAUUAGAAAGGCCUUCCAAAUAACAAAAUUAAUAUAGUCUGUCAUAAAAAUCUAUUAAUAAAUAAGUCUUUUCAUUAUACUUCUUUUAACUACAUAUACUUAAAUAUUAAUCACACAAUACUAAUCUGUCAUUCAAAGAGAAUCAGUGGCAAGUCACUAAUUCAAUUUCACUUACCUGAGCAUAAAGUAGAUUAGGUGUUUCAAUACUAUUAUUAAUCAGUAGUAUUAGAUUUGAUUGUGAAGCAAAAUACCCUCAGAAAAUAAUCAGUAGCAUUACAUUUGAUUGUGAAGUAAAAUACCCUCAGAAAAUAACAUUAAGACAUAGAAAAGAUUGAGAGGUUGUAUUUUUUUAAACGGCUAGAAAUCUACUAUGUUCGAAAUAAAUUUCAUGUAUACAUUAAUAUUCACUGAUUGGGCCUUCUGUAUACAUUAAUAUCUCAUUUAUUGUAGUCUGUAGUAUUUAAAGGAGUCUGUAGUAUUUAAAGGACACUCUUUGAUAGGAAUAUCAAAAGGAAUAAAUGAAACCCUAGAGAGAUAGCAGCCGCCUCUAUCAUUGAAGGAAAUAGAGAGAGAAAUAAAACUUGCUCUCUCAAUAAAGGAGAAGGAGAAAGACACAGAUCUGGAGCAGCAGACUCUCACAUUAGAGGAAAAGGAGAGAGACACAAAUGUGGUGACAGCUGGUGUCUAAACAAUGAUUACAAAAGAGCACAGGUGUGAUCCACGUAUGAACACCUAUUGAACUCUAGCAUGAAACAAACCGUAGGAAGAGAAGAGUUAUACAAAAGGUAAUAGUACAUAUUUAUUCAGCUUCCUCAAAUAUUUUUCUGCCCAAAUCAACAGAGAUUGAGUAUUUAAAUAUGAAUUUGAUUAAGUGAGUCAUUAUAGCAGAAAAAUAAAUAUGAAUAAUUAGAGCUUAUUGCAAUGUUUUACAUGUGUGAGUUUAGAUUAUAUAAAUUUCCAUAUAUAUGGUUGCUUGAGGUUAAAAAAACAACUCAACCCUAAUGAAAUAUUAGCCGCCUUUCACUAUGCAGGAAAAAGGAAAAGCAUACAUGACAUGUCAGACUUGGGGGCUCAAAGCUAUUCUAUUUCAUCAUCACAUAACGGAAUAGGUAUGAAAUUCUUUUCUUUUAAUACAUCAUAACUAAAUGAGACUCAGUUAUAGUUUUUGCAUCUCAAUCUAAUGGGUACAGAUUAAUUACUAUACCUAGUCAGAAUUAUAUCAUCCAUGUUUAAAUUUUUUUCAGAAUAUAGCUAAAGUAUGCUUCUUUUAACUACAUAUACUUAAAUAUUAAACACAUAAUACUACAUCUUGCAAUUAGCGCACUACAACUAAGAUUACUUUUAUUAAUCUGCCAUUCAGAUAGAAUCAGUAGCAAGUUACUAAUUCAAUCACUUUCCUGAUCAUAAAGUAGAUUAGGUAUUCAAUCCAAUUAGUAAAUAACAUUAAGACUUAGAAAAGAUUGAGAGGUUGUAUUUUUUUGAAUUGCCAGAAAUUUCACAAUAGUUCGAAAUAAAUUUCAUGUACUAAUCAUUAUAGUGACAUUAUAAUCUUUCAUACACUAAUUGCUUAAUGCUUUGCAGGUAAUAUUACUGAAUUUAAUGGUGUUUCUACAUUUUUCCAUUUUAUUUAAAGAAAUGACUUACAUGGAUUACUAAUAUAUGUUGCAUUUAUUAUCAGGGACAAAUGGAUCAAUAUGAGCUUUGGAAAUAUGGGGAAAAUAUAUUGGUAAUAGAAAAUAGUAUAAAAUUACUACAACCUAUGUCGAUCCUACAAAAAGGGCUGUAAUCUAUCCCUCUCUCUCUCUAUAUAUAUCCCCAUCUCUCUCUCUAUCUCGGUCUCUCUCUAUAUCUAUCUUGCUAAUUUUUCAUGUUCUAUAAUUCUGAUUUUAUUAUCUAAGUUACUUAUUUUUAAUG